rnacentral:rRNA from 1 species
UACAGAGGUCCCGAGCGUUGUUCGGAUUCAUUGGGCGUAAAGGGUGUGCAGGCGGGGGAACAAGUGGUGUAUGAAAUCUCCCAGCUUAACUGGGAUAGGUUAUGCCAGACUGUUCUUCUAGAGGACGAGAGAGGGGGGUGGAAUUCCGGGUGUAGUGGUGAAAUGCGUAGAGAUCCGGAGGAACCCCAGAGGCGAAGGCGGCCCCCUGGCUCGUACCUGACGCUCAGCCACGAAAGCAUGGGGAGCGAACGGG